GAGUUUGAUCCUGGCUCAGGAUUAACGCUGGCGGCAUGCCUAAUACAUGCAAGUCGAACGGAGUAGCAAUACUUGUGGCGAACGGGUGAGUAACACGUAUCUAAUCUACCAUUUAGUGGGGAAUAACUGUUGGAAACGACAGCUAAUACCGCAUAAUAUUGCUGGAUAAUUUCCAGCAAUGAAAGGAGCUUUCAAGCUCCGCUGAUUGAUGAGGAUGCGGCGCAUUAGCUAGUUGGUAGGGUAAUGGCCUACCAAGGCAAUGAUGCGUAGCCGAUCUGAGAGGAUGAACGGCCACAUUGGGACUGAGACACGGCCCAAACUUCUACGGAAGGCAGCAGUAGGGAAUUUUUCACAAUGGGCGAAAGCCUGAUGGAGCAAUGCCGCGUGACUGAUGAAGGUCUUCGGAUUGUAAAGGUCUGUUGUAAGGGAAGAAAUGGUAAAACAGGAAAUGGUUUUAUCUAUGACGGUACCUUACCAGAAAGCCACGGCUAACUAUGUGCCAGCAGCCGCGGUAAUACAUAGGUGGCAAGCGUUAUCCGGAUUUAUUGGGCGUAAAGGGUGCGUAGACGGUUUUGCAAGUCUGANGUUAAAUUUAGGAGCUCAACUCCUAAUCGCCUUG
rnacentral:rRNA from 1 species